rnacentral:lncRNA from 1 species
GGAUAACAUAAAUUCUCAUGUGCCAUUAAAUGGGCGACGAUGUUAUUCAAACGGAAACAUAACUAAUAAAAAGUGAUGGAUGUGAAUAAAGUAAAGCACGAUAAAAGUUGACCAACACGAAUGUCUGCAACGAGGAAUUGAUAAGCUUGACUGCUUCCUCCCAAUCCAAAACAAUUAAAAUUGUGUCAUCCAAACUUUCAUUGGCUGCAUACCUGUCGGAUGGCCAUGAAUUCAAAAACCAAUGGAUCAAUUAUGGCUGAUACAAUACGACCAGUUGCUGAGACGAGCUCCACAAGGUCGACGCAAAACAACCCCUAAGGCACCAUAGCCGCCUCUGUUAACGCCAUUUACUCGGUGAUUUUGACGAACCGCUGCAUCAACUGAGAACCGCCAAGAUGUGGACCGCUGAGGAGUGAAAG